UCGGAAUUACUGGGCGUAAAGCGUGCGCUGGCGGCUUCACAAGUUAGAUGUGAAAGCCCCGGGCUUAACCUGGGAACUGCGUUUGAAACUGGGAGGCUAGAGUGCGGCAGAGGGGGGUGGAAUUCCACGUGUAGCAGUGAAAUGCGUAGAUAUGUGGAGGAACACCGAUGGCGAAGGCAGCCCCCUGGGCCUGCACUGACGCUCAUGCACGAAAGCGUGGGGAGCAAACAG
rnacentral:rRNA from 1 species